rnacentral:tRNA from 2 species
GAGACACUAGUAAAAUGUGCAUUACACUGCCGUGUCAAGACAGAAUUGCGAGUUAAACCCCCGCGUGUCUCA